rnacentral:rRNA from 1 species
UGUCCAGACUCCUACGGGAGGCAGCAGUGGGGGAUAUUGCACAAUGGGGGGAACCCUGAUGCAGCGACGCCGCGUGGGUGAAGAAGCGCCUCGGCGCGUAAAGCCCUGUCAGCAGGGAAGAAAAUGACGGUACCUGAAGAAGAAGCCCCGGCUAACUACGUGCCAGCAGCCGCGGUAAUACGUAGGGGGCGAGCGUUGUCCGGAUUUACUGGGCGUGAAGGGGGCGCAGGCGGCGCGCCAAGCCCGAUGUGAAAGCCCGGGGCUCAACCCCGGGACUGCAUUGGGAACUGGCGUGCUGGAGUGCCGGAGGGGCAGGCGGAAUUCCUGGUGUAGCGGUGAAAUGCGUAGAUAUCAGGAGGAACACCGGUGGCGAAGGCGGCCUGCUGGACGGAUACUGACGCUGAGGCCCGAAAGCGUGGGGAGCGAACAGGAUUAGAUACCCGAGUA